ensembl:lncRNA
UUUCAAUUCAGUAGACUUUCAUAUUCAGUUAAAGUUUAUUUUAUUUCAAAUUACAAAAAUCUUUCUAAUGGUUUUGAUUUCAAUAAGAAUAAUAAGCUGGUCUAACAGUGUGUUUUUGAGCGUUUGUGUUGUGUUUCUGCAGGGUCUCCUGGUGGCCGUAAUCUUCUGCUUCUGUAAUGGAGAGGUGCAGUCGGCACUGAGGCGUAAGUUUGCGCAGUAUCGUGGUCAGCGGAAGCGUCUGGUGACCACUGACUCUCACUGUAACUACCACACCAACUCGUCCUUCACCGAGACCAGCCGGGUCACCAUCAGCCUGGAGCACGGCCCGGCCAACACGAGCGACACCGCGCAUGCACUCAACAGCCAGAGCAACGGCAAACGCUGCUCCAGCGACGUCCUCGAGUCGACUGAAAUAUGAGCGUCUGUCUCAUCAUGCACACUAAUGCCACCAACUCUACUGUCUCUGAAUGUUCAAAACGUCCUGUUUUAAAAUGUUUUGGAAACUGGUUAUGAGAGCGUUAAGGGAACAUUCCAUUUUAUUGUUUCGCAAACGUUACGGGAAUGUUACUUUUGAAUGUUACUUUUGAACAUUCUGAAACAACCCAGGUGAGAAGUCUAGGUUAUAAAAACGUUGUGUCAAUGUUGUUUUGAAAUGUUUCUGAAACAUUUAAAUGUCCAGUUUUUGUGAUUACAACAUUAUUUAAAAGUUGCAAAAACAUUUCUUGCAACAUUUUACUAACUUUAUUUUGACCCAAUAUAUAACAAUAUUCGAAUGUUUAUAUUUAAAAUUCUAAGAACGUUCAAAUGUCCACUUGAUAACAUCAUUUAAAGGUUACUAAAACGUUACUUACAGCAUUCUCACCCAAAAUAUAACGAUUGUUUAUUUUUAAUAUUCUAAGAACAUUAAAGGUCCGUAUUUGUUGUUGUGAUUAGAAUGUUUUUUAAACGUUACAAAAACUUGUCCUACAAUGUUCUACUAACUUUCUUUUGAACUCAAAAUUUAACAUUAUUUACAUUUAUUAACAUUAGAUAGAAUCUAAGACCAUAAAAAUGUCCAGUUUUCUUGUCAUGAUUAGAACAUUUUUUAAAGGUUACAAAAAUGUUUCUUAGAAUGUUCAUCAAGUACAAACAUCAUCAUAAGGACAUCGCGGGAAAGUCGCUCAACAUUAUGCGAACUUGUAUCACAUAUUAAUAAAGUUAACAGAACAUUCUGUAAACA